rnacentral:lncRNA from 1 species
GUGCGAGUCUCCCAAGGUGCGAGCUUUCUUUCUCUCUGAAUUAGGAGGUGAAACCAUUUGGAAGAGCCAUUGUAAAGGGGAGGGCUUUGGGCUGUGCAUACUCCUCAUAUCCAGGUGAACAGCAAGAAUAUUGCUUCAAGCUGAAAUGGUACACUUUGAAAAAAACCUCGUGCUUCUUUCAAGAAGAUACAAACUCUUUAGAACACAUACUUCUUGUUAUUAUUUUACUUCAAGUUCUGGGAUACAUGUGCAGAACGUGCAGGUAUGUUAAUGGGGAAAGUUUAAAGUUCCAGAAAAGGAAUGACAAAGUGUAUCUGGAUUUGGAAGGGGAUGCUCCACUGUUGUAAGAUUCACCCAGUUGUUUGAAUCCAGUUGAGACUUUCCAAAGUUCACCUGUGACUAACUGAAGCCCUAAUAAAGGCAAAACCUCUGACCUUG